GCCUUCGUGGUGUAGCGGCUAUCACGCCAGUCUCAUAUUCAAAUAUGACUCAGGAGCACAACUCGCUGGGAUAUCUGGAAAUGCCAGUUCGAUUCUGGCCGAGGGCA
rfam:Trichophyton benhamiae CBS 112371 Abenha-G-c-322p01.r1, whole genome shotgun sequence.